rnacentral:rRNA from 1 species
AGUGAACGCUGGCGGUAGGCCUAACACAUGCAAGUCGAACGGCAGCACAGUAAGAGCUUGCUCUUACGGGUUGCGAGUGGCGUACGUGUGAGGAAUAUAUCGGAAUCUACUUUUUCGUGGGGGAUCACGUAGGGAAACUUACGCUAAUACCGCAUACGACCUACGGGUGAAAGCAGGGGAUCUUCGGACCUUGCGCGAUUGAAUGAGCCGAUGUCGGAUUAGCUAGUUGGCGGGGUAAAGGCCCACCAAGGCGACGAUCCGUAGCUGGUCUGAGAGGAUGAUCAGCCACACUGGAAGUGAGACACGGUCCAGACUCCUACGGGAGGCAGCAGUGGGGAAUAUUGGACAAUGGGCGCAAGCCUGAUCCAGCCAUAGCGCGUGGGUGAAGGAGGCCUUGGGGUUGUAAAGCCCUUUUGUUGGGAAAGAAAAGCAGCAGGUUAAUACCCAGCUGUUCUGACGGUACCCAGAGAAGAAGCACCGGCUAACUUCGUG